AUUGAACGCUGGCGGCAUGCCUUACACAUGCAAGUCGAACGGUAACGGGCCUUCGGGUGCCGACGAGUGGCGAACGGGUGAGUAAUGCAUCGGAACGUACCUUUCAGUGGGGGAUAACGUAGCGAAAGUUACGCUAAUACCGCAUAUUCUGUGAGCAGGAAAGCAGGGGAUCGCAAGACCUUGCGCUGAUUGAGCGGCCGAUGUCAGAUUAGCUAGUUGGUGAGGUAAAGGCUCACCAAGGCGACGAUCUGUAGCGGGUCUGAGAGGAUGAUCCGCCACACUGGAACUGAGACACGGUCCAGACUCCUACGGGAGGCAGCAGUGGGGAAUUUUGGACAAUGGGGGCAACCCUGAUCCAGCCAUGCCGCGUGAGUGAAGAAGGCCUUCGGGUUGUAAAGCUCUUUCGGCCGGGAAGAAAUCGCAUGGGUUAAUACCCUGUGCGGAUGACGGUACCGGCAUAAGAAGCACCGGCUAACUACGUGCCAGCAGCCGG
rnacentral:rRNA from 1 species